GAUGAAGAACGUAGCGAAAUGCGAUAAGUAAUGUGAAUUGCAGAAUUCAGUGAAUCAUCGAAUCUUUGAACGCACAUUGCGCCCCUUGGUAUUCCGAGGGGCAUGCCUGUUCGAGCGUCAUUUCAACCCUCAAGCACAGCUUGGUCUUGGGCUUCGCCGCUAACCCGGCGGGUCUUAAAUUCAGUGGCGGUGCCGUCGGGCCCUGAGCGCAGUAAUCUCUCUCGCUAUAGGGUCCCGGCGGAUGCUGGCCAGUAACCCCCAAUUUUCUAUGGUUGACCUCGGAUCAGGUAGGGAUACCCGCUGAACUUAAGCAUAUCAAUAAGCGGAGGA
rnacentral:misc_RNA from 1 species